rnacentral:rRNA from 1 species
UGACGCGGUGAAUACGUUCCCGGGGCCUUGUACACACCCGCCCCGUCAAGCCAUGGAAGUUGGGGGGUACCUUAAAAGUUACGUAAACCCGCAAAGGAGCGUCCUAGGGUAAAACCGAUAACUGGGGCU